UGCUUUAUUUGGUGACAAAUCUCACUUAUGGGGGCAAAUUAGGUCCAAAGUAACCAUUUGUCAGACAAUUAGAUGGUAUUAGUUACAUAAUUGGUACCUUUUGUGCCAUUCAUUGGCUGUCUCCAUUAUUUUAUAUUAUUCAACCCAUAAACCGGUUGCAUAUGGACGAGAAAAAGUAGAAAAGUUUCCUCUGCAAAACAGCAAUAGCAGUCAUGGUCUUCCCAAUGAAUACACUGUUUGCAGUGCUGAGGACGAUGAUGAACACGAUGAUGGUGAUGUUGAUGUUGUUGGGUUCGUGAUGAACGAUGUUGAACGAUUUUAGAUGAAUGAGUUGAGUUGGUUGAAGAUCUAUGAAGAUGAUGACGAAAGCUACGAAUCUGAAUCUCGGAUCCGACCCUUCCACGGGAUUAGGGUUUCAGGAGAUCUCGGUCGCAAGUUCUUUUCCAAUAUGAUUGGUUAGCAGAAUUUUGUGGGAAGUGGCGGUUUGAGUCGGUGAUGCAGCCUGUUUCUUCGGGAACCAGUUUGUUAUUCGUUUCGGUUGAGCUUUAUGCAGGGCUGCAGUUCUCAUAAGACCAUUACUUGAA